AUUGAACGCUGGCGGCAGGCCUAACACAUGCAAGUCGAGCGGCUGAAGGGAGAUUGCUCCUGGAUUCAGCGGCGGACGGGUGGGUAAGGCCUAAGAAUCUGCCUGGUAGUGGUGGAUAACGGGCGGAAACGGGCGCUAAUACGGCAUACGUCCUUAGGGAGAAAGUGGGGGAUCUUCGGACCUUCCGCUAUCAGGUGAUCCUAGGUCGGAUUAUCUAGUUGGUGGGGUAAAGGCCUACCAAGGCGACGAUCCGUAGCUGGUCUGAGAGGAUGAUCAGUCACACUGGAACUGAGACACGGUCCAGACUCCUACGGGAGGCAGCAGUGGGGAAUAUUGGACAAUGGGCGAAAGCCUGAUCCAGCCAUGCCGCGUGUGUGAAGAAGGUCUUCGGAUUGUAAAGCCCUUUAAGUUGGGAGGAAGGGCAGUAAGUUAAUACCUCGCUGUUUUGACGUUACCAACAGAAUAAGCACCGGCUAACUUCGUG
rnacentral:rRNA from 1 species